UAGGGAAGAAUUGGUUUCAUA
rnacentral:siRNA from 1 species